rnacentral:rRNA from 1 species
UACGAAGGGGGCUAGCGUUGCUCGGAAUCACUGGGCGUAAAGGGUGCGUAGGCAGGUCUUUAAGUCAGGGGUGAAAUCCUGGAGCUCAACUCCAGAACUGCCUUUGAUACUGAAGAUCUUGAGUCCGGGAGAGGUGAGUGGAACUGCGAGUGUAGAGGUGAAAUUCGUAGAUAUUCGCAAGAACACCAGUGGCGAAGGCGGCUCACUGGCCCGGUACUGACGCUGAGGCACGAAAGCGUGGGGAGCAAACAGG